ACGAACGCUGGCGGCUGCUUAACACAUGCAAGUCGAACGGAGUGGCGAAAGGGUGAGUAACGCGUGAGCAACCUGCCUCUGACAGUGGGAUAGCCUCGGGAAACCGGGAUUAAUACCGCAUAGUCAUAGAUGGGCUCGCGGUGGAUUAGCUAGUUGGUGAGAUAACAGCCCACCCAGGCGACGAUAAGUAGCCGGUCUGAGAGGAUGAACGGCCACAUUGGAACUGAGACACGGUCCAACAUCCUACGGGAGGCAGCAGUGGGGAAUAUUGCACAAGGGGGGAAACCCUGAGGCAGCGACGCCGCGUGAACGAAGAAGGUAUUCGUAUCGUAAAGUUCUGUCCUAUGGGAAGCAGUACCAUAGAAGAAAGCUCCGGCUAAAUACGUGCCAGCAGCCGCGGUAAUAC
rnacentral:rRNA from 1 species